rnacentral:rRNA from 1 species
GACGAACGCUGGCGGCGUGCUUAACACAUGCAAGUCGAGCGGUAAGGCCCUUUCGGGGGUACACGAGCGGCGAAUGGGUGAGUAACACGUGGGUGACCUGCCCUCAGCUCUGGGAUAAGCCUGGGAAACCGGGUCUAAUACCGGAUAUGACUCCAUGACGCAUGUUGUGGGGUGGAAAGCCUUGUGCGGCUGAGGAUGGGCCCGCGGCCUAUCAGCUUGUUGGUGGGGUGAUGGCCUACCAAGGCGACGACGGGUAGCCGGCCUGAGAGGGCGACCGGCCACACUGGGACUGAGACACGGCCCAGACUCCUACGGGAGGCAGCAGUGGGGAAUCUUGCGCAAUGGGCGAAAGCCUGACGCAGCGACGCCGCGUGAGGGAUGACGGCCU